rnacentral:rRNA from 1 species
AGAGUUUGAUCAUGGCUCAGAACGAACGCUGGCGGCGUGCCUAACACAUGCAAGUCGAGCGCGAAAGUCCCUUCGGGGGUGAGUAGAGCGGCGGACGGGUGAGUAAUACAUAGGUAAUCUACCUUUCGAGCUUGGGAUAACCCUGCGAAAGUGGGGCUAAUACCGGAUAAGACCACGUAAUUAUUUUACGGGGUAAAAGGUGGCUUAUUUUUUAAAUGAGCUAUCACUUGAGGAUGAGCCUGUGGCCUAUCAGCUUGUUGGUGGGGUAAGAGCCUACCAAGGCUAUGACGGGUAGCUGGUCUGAGAGGACGACUAGCCACACUGGGACUGAGACACGGCCCAGACUCCUACGGGAGGCAGCAGUGGGGAAUAUUGGGCAAUGGGCGAAAGCCUGACCCAGCGACGCCGCGUGGGCGAUGAAGGCCUUCGGGUUGUAAAGCCCUGUCAUGCGGAAAGAACGACCCUGCGACGCAUAAUCGCAGGGAGUGACGGUACCGCAGGAGGAAGCACCGGCUAACUCCGUGCCAGCAGCCGCGGUAAUACGGAGGGUGCAGGCGUUGUUCGGAAUUAUUGGGCGUAAGGGGCGCGUAGGCGGUAAUGCUAGUCAGAUGUGAAAUACUCCGGCUCAACCGGGGAACUGCAUCUGAAACUGCAUAACUAGAGUACAGAAGAGGGAAACGGAAUUCCCGGUGUAGAGGUGAAAUUCGUAGAUAUCGGGAGGAACACCAGUGGCGAAGGCGGUUUCCUGGUCUGAUACUGACGCUGAGGCGCGAAAGUGUGGGGAGCAAACAGGAUUAGAUACCCUGGUAGUCCACACUGUAAACGGUGAACACUAGGUGUGGGAGGUGUAAUACCUUCCGUGCCGUAGCUAACGCGUUAAGUGUUCCGCCUGGGAAGUACGGCCGCAAGGUUGAAACUCAAAGGAAUUGACGG